AUUGAACGCUGGCGGCAGGCCUAACACAUGCAAGUCGAGCGAGAGGCGGACGGGUGAGUAAUGUCUGGGAAACUGCCUGAUGGAGGGGGAUAACUACUGGAAACGGUAGCUAAUACCGCAUACCAUCAGAUGUGCCCAGAUGGGAUUAGCUAGUAGGUGGGGUAACGGCUCACAUGGGCGACGAUCCCUAGCUGGGCUGAGAGGAUGAACAGCCACACUGGAACGGAUACACGGUCCAGACGCUGACGGGAGGCAGCAGUGGGGAAUAUUGCACAAUGGGCGCAAGCCUGAUGCAGCCAUGCCGCGUGUGGGAAGAAGGCCUUCGGGUUGGAAAGCACUUUCAGCGGGUAGGCGUUACCCGCAGAAGAAGAACCGGCUAACUCCGUGCCAGCAGCCGCGGUAAUAC
rnacentral:rRNA from 1 species